UACGUAGGGUGCGAGCGUUAAUCGGAAUUACUGGGCGUAAAGCGUGCGCAGGCGGUUGUGCAAGACAGAUGUGAAAUCCCCGGGCUCAACCUGGGAACUGCAUUUGUGACUGCACGGCUGGAGUGCGGCAGAGGGGGAUGGAAUUCCGCGUGUAGCAGUGAAAUGCGUAGAGAUCGGCAGGAACACCCAGGGGGAAACCAGCCGACUGGGCAUCUACUGACGCUGAGGUGCGAGAGCGUGGGGAGCAAACAGG
rnacentral:rRNA from 1 species